rnacentral:tRNA from 1 species
ACCCGGCUGGCUCAGUUGGGAGAGUGUGUGACUCUUAAUCUCAAGGUUGUGAGUUUGAGCCCCAUGUUGGGUG